ensembl:snRNA
GUGGUGCGUGAAAGGAAAGAAAGCUAGCACUCCCCUUGACGAGGAUGGAAGAGGCCUUCGGGCCUGACAACAUGCAUAUGGUUAAGGCAUUGCCACCUACUUUGUGGCAUCUAACCACUGUUUUUU